CAAAAUCACUUGCAGGUGUACAUAAGUCUUGCCAAUCCUUCUAGCCCAAUUUUUGUAUGCAAGGUCAUCCUCCUGGUGCUACCUUAGAAACUGGCCUUAUUCUACAGAGGACAUUGAAUGAUAACACUGCAAGUCAGCUGACUGCUGUGUCACAGAGCUGCUGCUUUCUACAUUAUCGCAACUGCCAGAGCUCUUACUGCUGCAGUUUUCUAGUCGCAGUGCGGCAAAGCAGACGCAUAGAACCAGGCACAAAGCAGCAUAGAUUUUUUUUAUAUUCUUGCCUUUUUCAUAUGAAGGGAAUAUUCCUGGUGUUAGCGCAGGAACAGACACACAGCCUGGAUGUGUUGGCUUCAGCCUGGCAGCGUUUUCAGCUGAGCAGGGACUGCUUGGAGCUCUGCACCCAAACUGCCUCUGAGGAAGAACGCCUGGCUUCCCACUUUAUGUACUAAGAGUGUUUUUUUUUUAUGCUACGGUGAUAUACCUGCAGCAAUAGGACAAAGGAGAUAGUACUUGUCACUGUUUGCUCGACUGGGGCCUUUGCAGGCACUACACUGCCGAAGCUGUGCCAACGUCCCAGGGUCAUAUAGAUUGGUAAUACAGAUUGCCGCAGUUUCUUACCUCAGUUAGAGCAAAGCUCAUACAAGAAACCAGACUCUCUGACCUAAAUCAAUCCCACUCCUUUUGGAUACAGGGCAGCAGUCGACUAGCAAUGACACAACCAGCCAUCAAGUGGAGACUCUCUGGGACUGCAAUCUGUAUCGGUUGGAGUCUGAGAGAAUGAAACCUUUUCGGUUAUCCAGUCGCUUCUCCUUCUUCUAAUACUGCAAUUACUACAACUACAACAACUACUACUACUACUUCUGUUUUUCUUGCCUGUAAGAAGCUAUAAAUUGUGCUUGGUCUCUGAGCAUAUAUUUGCCUGGAUUAGUCUGUCUAUAAUGCAGUUCUUAUCUGCUCCUGCUGGAAAUCAGGGCACAAAGUCAGCCUGCUUUAACAGUUUUUUCUUUCUGCGUGAUGCUAUGCAACUAGAAUGGGUUACACUGACAACAAAGGAACAAGCACAAAGCACCACUUUCUUUGCUGGACUGUUACAGGAACAUAACUCUUCUUCGAUAUGACACCCUGGUCUCUUCUCUUUGCUGUUCUAUUGUUGCUGGGUAUUUUUGUUUCAAAUUCAUCUAAUCGAAGAGCCUAACAGACACCAUCGUGGAUGUGGGUUUUAAUGCUUUGGAAAAGACAGCCUGUGGAGACUGCGAUUUGAGACAGCAACACAUUUAGGUUAUUGCCAAUUUGAAAUACUUGGUUUGUGAAGCACAGCCCUAAGGGACGAGCUCAGUAACUGAGAAUGAUAUUGUAGAUAAAGAAAUAAAAAUGACAAGCGUAAUGGAGGCUCUGCAAAAGAGACUGUCAGAGAAUCAGUUCAUGGAUGGCAAUUUCACCAGUCUGAAUCUGAAUAAUUCAUAGAUUGAAAUUACCCUGCUUUCACCUUUCCAUUUAAAACGGCAUGAUCUGAAUCUCUAAUAAAUUUUCAAGAUAAAGUAAAAUGCCAAUUUGAAUCUGAAGAGCUUUUAAAACCAGAUGCUACACCCUGAAUCUUUCGAUACCUUUCACAAUUAUCCUGUGAGAACCGCACUUCAUCAUGAAGCACCAUUACCAGUGAAAAUUACUGUGAUUACAAUAGCAACAAUAGAAUACCAUCAAAUGAUCUCUAAUUUACCUAAUUUACCAAGGCUGACUGUGUGCCCAUUGUGUUUCACUACGUCUGGCAUUGGAUCAAUAUCACAGUGGAACAAAAAUGCCUUAGUGUGUGCUUUCUUUUGGCACCUUUAACUUUGACAGUACAGGAAAAAUCUAUCUGCUGUUAAAUGUUUUUACAGCCAAUCUGCAUGCCUGCUGUAAGAUCUGAUUGAUUCUCCAUGAUUUCUUUAGCUCUUGGGUACUGGAUGUCAUUGUGUUACUAAUUUGUUUAUAAUGUAUACUCAUGCACAAAGACUGCAGCAAAUGAGUACCAGCAGAGAGACCCUGCACUGCUGCUGCAGUGGCAGCGCUCUUGCAGGGGAAGCCAAAAUGAGUUCGGUGCCUUAUGUUAAUAGUUACUCGUGUCUGAGUUAGAAAUGCUUUCUAGCAUCACCGGCCUUGGUCGUAUUACAUGAAAAAAUUAUGCAAAAGCCACAGCGAAGUAAAAUGAUCAUGUGGGAUACUAACAAGAUUUUUUUCCCCUAUUCAGCAGUUAGCAUGUGGUUGUGAGACAGACUGCAACUUCUGUAGACGUGCAUGUGUAGGUACGCAUGCACAUACAUAGACAUAAAGAUACUGUGCUUUGUGAAUAUGUGCCGAUCACUGAAAGUAGCAACUUUUUCUGACAAGCCAGGCACAGUGUUUUGCCACAAUCUGCUCACUUGUAACAAAUCCCUGGUUUGGAGGUGUAAAUUUCCUAUAGGAUGAAGCGUGACUUCUGGAACAAGUUUCUUUAUCAGUGUUAUCUGCUGCAACAGUCUGUGGAGAGUGGCUGGUCAUGGGAUGCUAGAUGUCCUCAUUAACAGCUGCAGAGCAGUUUAUAACAUAAAGUUUACAUUUAAGGACUCGAUCCAAAGAAUUCUGUGAAUCCC